rnacentral:rRNA from 1 species
AGUCACUGACAUUAGAUACCCCCGUAGUCCAGGGUGUAAACGCUGCAGACUUGGUGUUGGAGGCCCUUUGGGGGGCAUUCAGUGCCGGAGAGAAGUUGUUAAGUCUGCUACUUGGGGAGUACGUCCGCAAGGAUGAAACUUAAAGGAAUUGGCGGGGGAGCACCGCAACGGGAGGAGCGUGCGGUUUAAUUGGAUUCAACACCGUAAACUCACCAGGGAAGACUGUUACAUGAAGGCCGAGAUGAAGACUCUGCUAGAUUUUCAG